AGAAAACAAAAGAAAAGGAUAAAACAAGUUCACAUUGAUACAUAAAUGAGAAAAUAGUUACAUACAUAAUUUAAAAACUAAUAAAGAAAUAAUACAAGAAACAAGUGUUUAAGAAAAGCAGAAAGAAAUAUUAUACCACCACAUCAUUUGAUCAUCCCAAAUAAGAGAAUUUAAACCAGGAAAUUUCGUUCAGCUAAGAGAUAAACAACUAAAAACACAUUCUCUUGUUCUCUUUAUUAAGAAUAACCGAAGGCUCGAAAUCACCCGGCCGACUUCAAGUCGACGUAGCCAAACAUCCCAUAGCACUAGAAGUCGAGACGAAACCACCCGGCCUACUUCAAGUCGACGCAGCCAAACAACCAAUAGCGCUAGAAGACGCGACCCGGACAUUUACAAGUGUGCGUUGUGUACCAGCUUUCACGCACUGCGAGAGAGGACGUGGUGGAGAACCACCGCUAUUGCAUCAACUGUCUUGCAAAAAGCCACACAAUAAGAGCUUGUCAAUCGAUGGACACCUGCAGGAUAUGUGACAGGUAUCAUCACACAUUGUUGCACCCACGUCGUCAACGUGUUCGUCAUCAACAGCAACAAGGUCAACGACAGCAGUCAAACCGUCAACAACAACAUCAACAGCCAGAAAGUCGUGACAACCAACAGCAAGCCAGUCAACAAGUCACUCAAUCAGCUAUAACACCAACUAAAUCGACAACACCAGACGUUAAAAUAUUAGUGGAGGCGAUUCGUUCGCUGGCUCACGUAUUAUGUACCCAACAGGGUCCAAUUCUUGCCUAGUGCCAAGGCCGGCGGCAUGUCCAAACUAGUUUGAACACUAAAAUUAUAAUUUAUAUUCAUUAUAAUUUUUAUAUUAAUCAUUUGAAAUUCAAUUAAUAUAAGUAUUUUUUUUGUAGUGUAAGCGAUAUCGUAAAAGACACAAAAUGUGGCAUCGCUAACAUUUUUAUCGCCAGUUUUCGUUAAACGUACUGGAAGUUUAAUAACUAACAUAUAGAUUUAACAAGCUAAGAAAACUUACUUGCACUAGAACCACCAAGAAGUUCAGUCUAUUAAUUUUAUACUUACCUUAAAACUAAAGAUUUUAUACUUACCUUAAAACUAAAGAUUUUAUACUUACCUUAAAACUAAAGAUUUUAUACUUACCAUUGCCAUUGUAAACUUACCUUAAAACUGAAGAAACCUAAUAAAGGAACCCAAAAUUGAAUUGUAUUGAAACCCAAAA